rnacentral:rRNA from 1 species
UACGAAGGGGGCUAGCGUUGCUCGGAAUCACUGGGCGGAAAGGGCGCGUAGGCGGCCAUUCAAGUCAGGGGUGAAAGCCCAAGGCUCAACCUUGGAAUUGCCUUUGAUACUGUUUGGCUUGAGACCGGAAGAGGUCGGCGGAACUGCGAGUGUAGAGGUGAAAUUCGUAGAUAUUCGCAAGAACACCAGUGGCGAAGGCGGCCGACUGGUCCGGUUCUGACGCUGAGGCGCGAAAGCGUGGGGAGCAAACAGG